UACAGAGGUCUCAAGCGUUGUUCGGAUUCAUUGGGCGUAAAGGGUGCGUAGGCGGCGCGGUAAGUCGGGUGUGAAAUCUCGGAGCUUAACUCCGAAACUGCAUUCGAUACUGCCGUGCUUGAGGACUGGAGAGGAGACUGGAAUUUACGGUGUAGCAGUGAAAUGCGUAGAUAUCGUAAGGAAGACCAGUGGCGAAGGCGGGUCUCUGGACCACAACUGACGCUGAUGCGCGAAAGCUAGGGGAGCAAACAGG
rnacentral:rRNA from 1 species